CCGCGUCGGGAUGAAGGCCUUCGGGUUGUAAACCGCUUUUACCAGGAACGAAAAUGACGGUACCUGGAGAAUAAGGUGCGGCCAACUACGUGCCAGCAGCCGCGGUGACACGUAGGCACCAAGCGUUGUCCGGAUUUAUUGGGCGUAAAGAGCUCGUAGGCGGUUCAGAAAGUCGGGUGUGAAAACUCUGGGCUUAACCCAGAGACGCCACUCGAUACUACUGUGACUAGAGUUCGGUAGGGGAGCAGGGAAUUCCUGGUGUAGCGGUGAAAUGCGCAGAUAUCAGGAGGAACACCGAUGGCGAAGGCACUGCUCUGGGCCGAAACUGACGCUGAGGAGCGAAAGCGUGGGUAGCAAACAGGAUUAGAUACCCUGGUAGUCCACGCCGUAAACGGUGGGCACUAGGUGUGGGUUCCAACCAACGGAAUCCGCGCCGUCGCUAACGCAUUAAGUGCCCCGCCUGGGGAGUACGGACGCAAGGUUAAAACUCAAAGGAAUUGACGGGGGCCCGCACAAGCAGCGGAGCGUGUUGCUUAAUUCGAUGCUAACGCGAAGAACCUUACCUGGGUUUGACAUGUACGGAAAAGCAGUAGAGAUACUGUGUCCUUCGGGGUCGUACCAGGUGGUGCAUGGUGGCGUCAGUCGUGUCGGAGAUGUGGGUUAAGUCCGAAAGAGCGCACCCUA
rnacentral:rRNA from 1 species